CCCCGCGUAACCUGUGGUAACCCUCCGCCGCCAGCGCCUCAGAGCGGGGCCGGAGCGCGGCCAUUGCCCCGAGCGCUCCCCACACUCGUCCCGUCACGGGGCCGCUCUGGUCGUCCUCUCAGUGAGGACAGCGACCCAGGCCCCUGGGCACACCCUUGCCUUCACGCCGGGGCAGAGAGGCCAAAGUCAGCCCGCCACGCCCGGCCAUCACCUCAGCCCUUUCCCUCAGGCGCACCCGCCGCUGAGGGCAACGCUGAGGAGCCACCAGGGGAAGAGGGAGGACCGGAGUUGUACAGGACAAGAGCUGGGACAGUCAGCAGCACGGUGGGAAGGCAGGCUAUAAACUUGCACAUGGAAAUUAAAUUACAGAUCUGGGAAAAUAUUCAAGAGAUCAUCUGAGUCAAACAGGACAGGAACGUGUGGCUCCAAGGACCCAGGGAACACAGCCCCAAGAAGAGUUUUCACGUGGAUUUUAAGGUGUCAUUUAUCUAAAUCAGCUCCCAAAGGUAGGAGUCUGACAGCACCCUGCUCACCUCAGAGCUAUCGACUUCACUCCAGGUGUUCUGACCAUAUCCUUCCUUCCCUCCCUCCAUCACACUCAGGAUUUCCUUAGACAGGUAAACCUUCCUCAGAGGACUGGCAGACUUCCCAGUCCUUAUCACUACUGUCCUCCCAUUGGGAUUUGUAACAAAAUUAAUGGUGGCAUCAGCUGAGCUUUUAAAGGAGAAAGUGUUAGAGGGCUCUGUAGGACAGUUUCUGGCUAUGCUUAAAAUUAUUCUUGUAUUACCAGUGAAAAAUAAUGCCCUUGUGGUAAGAAAACUUGUGUGGGAUGCUUAAUGAGUAACUCAGGAGGAAGUGGACUGAAACAUGGAAGCAGAUCCCAGGAUUCCUAUCAAACAGCACUGGAAAAGCUCAGGCAUUUCAGUAGGUUUUCUGUAGGGCUGGUGCUGCUUAUCCCAGAAAAGCAAUCACAAAGCUCCAGCCUACCUCCUAGAUUUGUCCUUUAACACAAAGUAACAGCUUCCCCAUUAAUAACGCCAUCAACCCAAAUUUGCAUCUGCAAUUGCCCAAAUUAGCUAAUUAAAGCUCCCAUCCCCAGCGUGGCGGAGUGAGGGAGGUCACGCGCUGCUGCAGCUCCUGCCAAGCAGGAGCCAGCUCUGGAGGGAAGGACAGCAGCUCUGCCUUCCCCAGUGCCUGAGCAGGCAGUGACUGCAGCCAGGCCCGGGAAAUGCCGCAUUCAAAUAAAACUGGGAGGGAGGAGUGUCAGGGAAUUGCUUAGGAAUACAGCUGGAGCCAAGCCAGCACUUAGUAUGCAUGCAGGCUGGUGCUGUAUGAAUGGUAAAAAUAGCAGCAGAUGCUUAGAUAAGAAAAUACAAUUUGGUUUACAUGCAAAGCCAUCACAGAGCGUGGUUCAAAAAUCUACCCGCUAUCAGAUGACAGGAAGAUUAAGGCCAAGAGCUUAUUUUGGUGUAAAUUUAAUUGCAAGGCCUUCUCUUUCUUCAAGAGGUCUCACUUCACUUUGGAAAACCUUUCUGCUCCAGCAUUAGAAAGGUGAGUUUAAUUGAGGCAUUAUGUCACAGAAGCAGAGUCUGAAGGGAUGGCAAGAGUAUGGUCAAAGGGCACAGUGAUUGCUUUGGUUUGGAAAUCAGUGGGCAAGGUACACUGAUAUUUUAGGUACACCUACACACAUGCACAGCCAGCCUAGUUCCCACAGGCAGGAUCACAUCCCUGAGCUCUGAUACAUUCCUGCCUCCAACACAAAACACACCCUGGACUGACAGGACACAGUGACCCUGUGAAGCAGAGAAUGAUUCUUCACUCAGGAAGAGCCACCUGCAACCAGGAGCAGCUGCUUUGCAACAAGUCUGACUUGGGGACAGAGCUGAACUCCCAAGGGUGGUUCAUUUCCUUUAGCACAAGCACCCCAAAAAACUUGGAAACCAGGCAGGCUUCUUGGCUGUCACCAAUGACCUGCUCCUCUUCUUCCCAAGGGAAGAUUUAUCAGCUAGCUUUAAACCACCCUGUCCCACAUUUACCUCAGUGAAUUACAAAAGGCUUUGUUUAUGCAGUGGCCUUCACUGUCAGCAAGAACCAGCUGGAGGAAGCACCCUAAUGAAAGAGCAGGUAUGGGAUACUGAGCUCUUCCCAAAAGAUCCCAUAGAGAUACCUCCCUGCUGACUUGGCUGGCAGAAGGAGAUACUCACAGGAACUACAAAUUGUCUUCUCAGUCAUAUCAAAGAUUUAACCCUUUUUUCCAGUCUCUGUCUCACCUGAACACUUGCAGACAAGCAAAAGGCCAUUACUGCACAAUCUUAAUUCUCCAAAGCAAUCCUGCCAGCAGGGAUAAAGUCCUAAAAUGCAUCUUCUGCAGCUGGGAAGCAUUUGAGACCCAAACUCCUGUUCUGAGUUGUAAUAAUCACUGCAUCUGAAGGCUAUGGGGAAUGUUUUGACCUUCAUGCUAACCCACUGCAACUAAAUCUGACAGUAUAAUUUCUGCUCCUUAUUAAUCCCAUCUUGAUUUUCUCUGUUUCAUAAGCAUUCUGGAAAUAAACAUUUAGUCCAGGUCUAUUUACCUCAUGAUGGCUGGAAGCCCAAACUGACUGAUAAAAAGGCUCAUAAGCAAAUUUACAAAUAUACCCAGCUAACAGUGUGAAUCCCUCUCACCCACUGGGCAAGUAAAUGCACUUGAGAAAUUCCAGGAGGAGCCAGCUCUGUGCAAUGGAAGUAUUGCUAUUUUCUGUAUUGGUCCCAGUCCUGCUGUUAACACGUAUCCAGGGCAAGGGACAAGUGGCACACAAACUUCCUGCUCCAUUCUUCCCCACCCUGUUCUUCCUUCCCCCGAGCCAGUGGUGGAUGGGAAAUGGACACUCACUCCCCUGUUCAGAGUCUCAUUUUCCCAUUCCCAAGAGCUGCUGAAACCUGAAAACUCAGCGCAGCUCCAGCAGUCAUUUGAAGUCCAGGCCUGUUGCAUCCUGAACAGAUUAGCAAAGGAGUUAUCUGCUGUGGAUGCAGAGGAUCACUGGCAGAUAAUGCUCAGCACAGCCUGCAGGGAAAUGGGAUUGUGUGGAAAGGCAAAACCUUAGUGGAAUAAUGAGAAGCCCCAAGUCCUCAUUCUCAGCAUAUCUUUGUCCCAGAUCAUGCAGCCAAGCAAUUCUGCAAUGGAAUGAUGUGCUGAAUUUUCCCAUUUUUCUCUCUCUCUGAAGGCCACACAAGGACAAUCCUCUCUGUUCCCACAAAACCCUCUUCUCCACAGGAUUCUUCACAGAGCAAGAAAGGGCACGAGCAGUCUCUGCCCUUCGCUUGCCCCUUUCAGGACAAUGGCUACUGUGAAGCUGAAAUUCCAAUAAAAACCUAGUUGAAAUGGUGGCAGAUGAGAUAUCCCUCCUGUGAUGUUCAGAGGAACUCAUCCUGCAAUGUACAGCUCUUAAUAAGAACUAAAUUAAAAUUUCCUUAAAUAAAUAUAAAGAAAGAGUCCAUGAGGAAGAGUUGCCAGUGGGAACACGGAGCCGUGUUUGGGUCAAUCUCUUCAUCCAUCUCCUUGGAGAUCUCCCAGGACUGUGCUGAGGGCAGGACCAGCAGCUCCAUGUCACUGUUCCUAUCGACGCCAUCUGGAAAGGGAAAGAGCUGCUGUGUCCCUGUGGUGGGGCACAGCUCUGCCACAGGGCCCAGCAGGCACCAGACAAGAGCAGCACCGCAGGGACCUGGGGUCACCAGCCACAGUCAAAUGGCAACCAGCUCCCAGGAAUUUGUCUGCAUAACUGAGAGGGAAGAAGGUCAGAAAGGAAAACCUGAUCAGCUGGUGCAACUGUUCCUUUCCCUCUCCAGGAGUCAAAAUAUCUGAGUCAGAUUUCAUCCUGACUGCUUGGUUGGAGAGGCUCUGCUUUCUAGUUAUCUCCCAGCUACAGUUCCUGCCCUGAGAGAGGUCAGGUCUCCCAGCUGGAAUCUGACACAGUGCUCUCUGCAAGGAGAUCAUGCCCUAACCACACAGGUCUCUGCAAGGGCACUGUGGCUCUGAGGGACACACGGAGUAGCUGCAACAUCCUCGUGGACACACAGGUUACUCACAUCCGCAAGCACUUGUCCUUCCCUCCGCUCGCUACCCUCUGUCCGUCCGGGCUCCAAUCCGCUGCAUACACCUGGUGUGAUGGAAAUCAGUCACCUGUGCUGGGAGGAGGGCUCACUGCUGCCUCCCAAACAGCCCAGCUCCACCAGGCAGCUCACCUCAUCCGCAUGGCCA